AGAGUUUGAUCCUGGCUCAGAUUGAACGCUAGCGGGAUGCCUUACACAUGCAAGUCGAACGGCAGCACGGACUUCGGUCUGGUGGCGAGUGGCGAACGGGUGAGUAAUGUAUCGGAACGUGCCCAGUAGCGGGGGAUAACUACGCGAAAGCGUAGCUAAUACCGCAUACGCCCUACGGGGGAAAGCAGGGGAUCGCAAGACCUUGCACUAUUGGAGCGGCCGAUAUCGGAUUAGCUAGUUGGUGAGGUAAAGGCUCACCAAGGCGACGAUCCGUAGCUGGUCUGAGAGGACGACCAGCCACACUGGAACUGAGACACGGUCCAGACUCCUACGGGAGGCAGCAGUGGGGAAUUUUGGACAAUGGGCGAAAGCCUGAUCCAGCCAUGCCGCGUGAGUGAAGAAGGCCUUCGGGUUGUAAAGCUCUUUCAGCCGGAAAGAAAUUGCUUCUAUUAAUACUAGGAGUAGAUGACGGUACCGGAAGAAGAAGCACCGGCUAACUACGUGCCAGCAGCCGCGGUAAUACGUAGGGUGCGAGCGUUAAUCGGAAUUACUGGGCGUAAAGCGUGCGCAGGCGGUUUUGUAAGACAGACGUGAAAUCCCCGGGCUUAACCUGGGAACUGCGUUUGUGACUGCAAGGCUAGAGUGUAGCAGAGGGGGGUAGAAUUCCACGUGUAGCAGUGAAAUGCGUAGAGAUGUGGAGGAAUACCGAUGGCGAAGGCAGCCCCCUGGGCUAACACUGACGCUCAUGCACGAAAGCGUGGGGAGCAAACAGGAUUAGAUACCCUGGUAGUCCACGCCCUAAACGAUGUCAGCUAGGUGUUGGGGAAGGAGACUUCUUUAGUACCGCAGCUAACGCGUGAAGUUGACCGCCUGGGGAGUACGGUCGCAAGAUUAAAACUCAAAGGAAUUAACGGGGACCCGCACAAGCGGUGGAUGAUGUGGUUUAAUUCGAUGCAACGCGAAAAACCUUACCCACCUUUGACAUGGCAGGAAGUUUCCAGAGAUGGAUUCGUGCCCGAAAGGGAACCUGCACACAGGUGCUGCAUGGCUGUCGUCAGCUCGUGUCGUGAGAUGUUGGGUUAAGUCCCGCAACGAGCGCAACCCUCGAUGUCAGUUGCCAACGGGUAAAGCCGGGCACUCUGACGUGACUGCCGGUGACAAACCGGAGGAAGGUGGGGAUGACGUCAAGUCAUCAUGCCCCUUAUGCCUUGGGCUACACACGUGCUACAAUGGCCAGGACAAUAGGCAGCAAUACCGCGAGGUGGAGCCAAUCCCAAAACCUGGUCUCAGUUCAGAUUGUAGGCUGAAACUCGCCUACAUGAAGGCGGAAUCGCUAGUAACCGCAGGUCAGCAUACUGCGGUGAAUACGUUCCCGGGCCUUGUACACACCGCCCGUCACACCAUGGGAGUGGGUUUCACCAGAAGUAGGUAGCUUAACCUUCGGGAGGGCGCUUACCACGGUGAGAUUCAUGACUGGGGUGAAGUCAUAACAAGGUAGCCGUAUCGGAAGGUGCGGCUGGAUCACCUCCUU
rnacentral:rRNA from 1 species